UUUGUACAACAAAUUGCAGCGGAGCUUCGUCGUCCCGUUAUUAACAAGUGAUAUCAUUGCAAUCGUGCGCGAUGCAAUAAGUGAAUCGAGUGUUUUUUUAUAGCUUAAAAUUAAUCAUUAGAAACAUUCUGAAUGAUUGCGUGCAAUGCAGUCAAUUACAUAUAUAUUUAGUGUUUCUUUAUAAGAAGUUUUUUACUUUUUUUUUUUUUUUUCUAUUAAAUAACUUAACAGUUGCGUUUAAACGUUAGAUAUUCGCGAAUUAAAUUCACGUCGUCUCGUAACAAAUAAACCAUAAACGCGUACUAUAAAGUCAGUUUACAUUAUGGAAGAUUAUCAAGAAAGUAUUACGCGUCUUCUGUAAGAAAUUAUUGUAUCAUCUCAAUCGAAUAAAACGAUCGUCGAUUUGCGAUAAUUUAAAAAUCUAUGUAUCACAUUUUCAAGCAACAAAAUGGACAAGUUUUUUUCAUCAGAAAUGGGUUGGAGAGAGGAUCGCGGGGUUGGAGUGGGGAGAGAGGAACAACGUUCGUACGGCACGCUCGCGAAUCCUUGGAAAAACGCGAUUUUAUCGUCCGCCUUUUUUUACGACAUGGUACACCGAUAAAUUCUCUUCGUCAGACGACACGAAGGAUUAAGGUAUAACCUGGCCUUUUAGUCUGGAAUAAGUGCGUAGAGAAACGACAGACAGGAAGAAGAGGAGAAGAAGGAGGAGGAGGAGGAGGAGGAGGAGGAGGAGGAGAUAGAGAUGGAGGAGAGUAAGGAGGAAAAGGAGGUGGAAGAAAACUAAGAGGAUGGGAGAUAAUCUUUGGUCGCGGAACCGCGGAAUUCGUUUCUGCUUCGCGUAUUUCUUCCGUAACCACUAGACGAGAGAGAGAGAGAGGGAGAGAGAGAGAGGGAGAGAGAGAGAG